UACGACUACAUAUCAGGCAUAUCAAUAAGCGGAGGAAAAGAAACUAACUAGGAUUCCCUCAGUAACGGCGGAGUGAAGCGGGAAGAGCUCAAAUUUGAAAUCUUCAAGGUUUCUACCUUGACGAAUUGUAGUUUAAAGAAGUGUUUUCUGUUGGAGUUUUGGUAAAAGUUCUUUGGAAUAGGACAUCAUAGAGGGUGAGAAUCCCGUAUUUGACCAUUACUUUCCAACUUUGUGAUACACUUUCAAAGAGUCGGAUUGUUUGGGAAUGCAGUCCAAAAUGGGUGGUAAAUUUCAUCUAAAGCUAAAUAUUGGCGAGAGACCGAUAGCGAACAAGUACCGUGAGGGAAAGAUGAAAAGAACUUUGAAAAGAGAGUUAAACAGUACGUGAAAUUGUCAAAAGGGAAGCGUUUGACACCAGUGUUGUUUUUCCGAAAAUCAAUUACGAAUGUUUUAUUUUUGAGGAGUUAUGACUUCAUCGGCUUGCUCCUUUCUUUAUGAAACUUUCUUAAUGCACUUUUCGGUUAACAAGUCAACAUCAAUUUCUUUUGUUGUAAAAGGGUAUGAGGAAGGUGGCUUUCUUUUCGGAGAAAGUGUUUAUAGCCUUGUGCCUCUGCAAUCGGAGAGAUUGAGGUCUGCAGCGUAGAUCCUUCGGGGUUAGAUACAUUUGUGCUAAGUUAUAGCUUUUCAUAGACAACUUGUUGACUAUGUUUAGUCUUGUAGCUUACUCGCUUAUGCUAUUUUACCUACGCUUAGGAUGUUGAUCUCUCACAGUCGAGC
rnacentral:rRNA from 1 species